rnacentral:siRNA from 1 species
AAAGCCAGAGAUCUCAUUUCUGA